UACAGAGGUCUCAAGCGUUGUUCGGAUUCAUUGGGCGUAAAGGGUGCGUAGGUGGCGCGCUAAGUCAGGUGUGAAAUCUCGGGGCUUAGCUCCGAAACUGCAUUUGAUACUGGCGUGCUUGAGGACUGGAGAGGAGACUGGAAUUCAUGGUGUAGCAGUGAAAUGCGUAGAGAUCAUGAGGAAGACCAGUGGCGAAGGCGGGUCUCUGGACAGUUCCUGACACUGAGGCACGAAGGCCAGGGGAGCAAACGGG
rnacentral:rRNA from 1 species